GACGUAGGGUGCAAGCGUUGUCCGGAAUUAUUGGGCGUAAAGAGUUCGUAGGCGGUUUCUUAAGUCUGGCGUUAAAGCCCGGAGCUCAACUCCGGCAUGGCGUUGGAAACUGGGAAGCUAGAGUGUGGCAGAGGUAUCGGGAAUUCCAGGUGUAGCGGUGAAAUGCGUAGAUAUCUGGAGGAACACCGGUGGCGAAAGCGCGAUACUGGGCCAUAACUGACGCUGAGGAACGAAAGCCAGGGGAGCAAAAGGG
rnacentral:rRNA from 1 species